AGUGGAAUUGCUGGGUCAUAUGGUAGCUCGAUGUUCAACUCUUUGAGGAACUGCCAAACUCUUUUCCACAGUGGCUCUGCCAUUUUACAUUCCUGUCAGCAAU
rnacentral:pre_miRNA from 1 species